rnacentral:rRNA from 1 species
GAUCAUGGCUCAGGAUGAACGCUAGCGGCAGGCUUAAUACAUGCAAGGUCGUGGGGCAGCAGGUUUGUAGCAAUACAGAUGCUGGCGACCGGCAAACGGGUGCGGAACACGUACAGAACCUUCCUUUGAGCGGGGAAUAGCCCAGAGAAAUUUGGAUUAAUACCCCAUAGUAUAAUGAAGUGGCAUCACUUUAUUAUUAAAGAUUUAUCACUCGAAGAUGGCUGUGCGGCUGAUUAGGUAGUUGGCGGGGUAAAGGCCCACCAAGCCUGCGAUCAGUAACUGGUGUGAGAGCACGACCAGUCACACGGGCACUGAGACACGGGCCCGACUCCUACGGGAGGCAGCAGUAAGGAAUAUUGGUCAAUGGAGGCAACUCUGAACCAGCCAUGCCGCGUGGAGGAUGAAGGUCCUCUGGAUUGUAAACUUCUUUUAUAUGGGACGAAAAAAGGCUUUUCUAAGUCGUCUGACGGUACCAUAUGAAUAAGCACCGGCUAACUCCGUG